GACGGGGGAUGCAAGUGUUAUCCGGAAUCACUGGGCGUAAAGCGUCUGCAGGUGGUUUCCUAAGUCCACUGUUAAACCUUGAGGCUCAACCUCAAAUCUGCAUUGGAAACUAGGAGACUUGAGUAUAGUAGGGGUAGAGGGAAUUUCCAGUGGAGCGGUGAAAUGCGUAGAUAUCGUGUGGAACGCCAACGGUGAAAACAGACAGCUGGGAGGGUGCUGACGCUGAGACACGAAAGCCAGGGGAGCGAACGGG
rnacentral:rRNA from 1 species